GACAGAGGAUGCAAGCGUUAUCCGGAAUGAUUGGGCGUAAAGCGUCUGUAGGUGGCUUUUUAAGUCCGCCGUCAAAUCCCAGGGCUCAACCCUGGACAGGCGGUGGAAACUACCAAGCUGGAGUACGGUAGGGGCAGGAGGGAAUUCCUGGUGUAGCGGUGGAAUGCGCAGAUAUCAGGAGGAACACCAAUGGCGAAGGCAGAUCUCUGGGCCGUAACUGACGCUGAGGAGCGAAAGCAUGGGGAGCGAACAGG
rnacentral:rRNA from 1 species